AACGCACAUUGCGCCUCUUGGUAUUCCGAGGGGCAUGUCUGUUUGAGCGUCAGUACACACCUCCUGCGAGACUUUUUUGGUCCCGGCAGGGUCUUGGGAUGGGGGGCCGCUCCGGCGCCUCCCCCCCUAAUGUGGCACGCUUGCGGGCUCACUGCCGGAUGUCAACGUAGUAAUCUUAUCUCGUUCCAGCCGACGAUGGGCCUCGCCUGAAUCGAACUUCUCAUGGUUUGACCUCAGAUCAGACAAGGAUACCCGCUGAACUUAA
rnacentral:misc_RNA from 1 species